rnacentral:lncRNA from 1 species
GUCGUCGGUGCCGCUGCUCGCGAUCACACGGCCGCGCCGGGGCGGCGGCGGAGGCGACGGGUCCGACGCGUGUAUGGCCGAUCGUUGCCGGUGGCGCCUGGUCAUUGCGUCCCCUCUUUUUUUCUCCUCUCUCUUUUUUUCUUCUUUUCUUCUUUUGCCUGCAACAGAGGGUUUGUCGCUGCCGGUGCUGUUGUGUGUGCGUGGGUCGGCGGCGGCGGCGUGUGGAUCUGUCGCGGCCGUUUCUCCUUUUCUCUUGGGGCCUCCUGUCUUGCGCGCUCCGGCGCUCUCAUGUGGCCAGGUGCACGCCGGCGCGGGCACAACAACAGGCGGAGCGACCGUCGAGGCCACACACGUGCCGGCGGACCAUCGGACAAAAAGGGAGGAAACCCCAAAUGCCGUGGUGGGCGCGUUGGACCGACGGCGGACACGAAAAAGGACCGUCGACGGCGCCGCUCAAGAGAAUCAUGCAAACUAGAAGAACUCUAAAAAAAUCACAAGAAUCGCACAAACAAAUAAAAAAAGCCACGACCCACAUACCAAC